GUUUGUCUGGCCCAUGCCAGUCGUCGUCCCGAGUCGUCUCUCUAGCAAGCUCACCGCCUCCCAGGACUGUUCCGAUUCCUGGAACGCAGCGGAGGACUGAGCGAAUUUUCGACUCGCUGUUUGCACGUUCCUGGAUCAUAGAGGUAGGACCGCCCCUGACGAACGAGUAGGCGGUUAAUAUUGGCAACCAGGACUGGUCGCCGAUAACUCGACUCUCUAACGAGGUGGUAUCGUGGACCAGGACUAGAGGACGCGAUGGCGGCCUGCGAGGCUGUAAAAGAUCUUUUCAUGCAGAUAAACAUGGGAACGUUCACGCUUCACCUUUCUACACCUACGGGAACGUUACGUAAACGGUCAUGAGGUUCCCGUUACUUCAAAAAGUGACAUUUUCAUUCGACCGAUGUGUUCGAUGCUAAUUACCUGCAAUCCAGUGCAGAGUGCACGGCACGUGUUCACGCACAGGACGGCUGAAAGAAGUGGAUGAAAAUAAAAUAAAGCGCCGUUCGGAGAUUUUGGAUGCGUCUUUCAACAAUCGAGAGUAUUCGCAGUCUCGCCGGAUGAAGUCCCACCGAUCGGUGUUAAUUCACGCUCCUCGGGCCCCAUCGUCUCUUUGUGGGACGACUGGGUGCGUUAAGUUGGUUGGCCAUGUCGGUGUCAAGUCGGUGCCAAGAAGUCUACCGGCGAUAACCAGCUGCACCGGUAGACUGCCUGCUGCCUGCGCGCGGGCCCCGUAGGGCUCCUGGGACCGGUUAUACUUGACCCAGCGCGCGCGGUUCGUUGCGCGCUACCCAAGACCGGAUCGCGCGUCCGCUACCGAAACACACACAACGCACAGCUCGAAGGCGUACGGAUCGCCACAGAUAUGGAUCAGGAAUGGGGGGGUGUCGGAGCGACGGGGUGGAGCAGAUUGGCAGGAAUUCAGAACCGGGGCGUAUAAAACUUUACGGGGAACGGGAGAUGGUAUUUAUGCAGAUGAGCUACCAAGGAUACUCUGUUUAUUACUCAACCAUAAAUGCCAAGAGCUCGAAACAGUUACGGAACCGAAGAUCUACGGAAGCGAAAGUCCUAUUUCACCAAGGUCUCUUCACGUUUAUCCGUGGAAUGAGAAUCGACCAAGUUCUGUAGAAAGGAAUAUAUAUAUAUGGCACAGAAGGGAGUGCUAUCAAAAAUAGAAAGAUUCCUUCAGAACAUAAUAUACUAAUUUUUCAGUCAUUAAAUUUGUUCGAUUGUGCUUGUUACACUUUCAUAAGAAGUGGAGCAUUCUGUAAUUAAAUAAAUUGAUGUCUGAUUCAUAAGACUCGAUUUAAGAAAUACAAUAUGAAUAUUUCGUAUGAGAGUCAUAACCCUUGCAGCACAGUAGUAAUUCAUCUUUUUUUAUAAUCUCCACGCGAACACAAUUCUUCUGUUUAAAUUAAAGAGAAUAAUUAAAACAUUAAUAUUUUUUUCUAUUUAGAGAGUACAGUAGUAUAUCCAAUAUAAUAAUUAGUUGGAUAAGUUUUAAAUUAAAUUUUGUGUCAAUUGCUCAUACGUACAGUUGGAAUAAACUUUCUAACAGUUUUCUUGGCGACAAUGAUGAGGAAUUACAUACGAGAAAUUUGAUCUGAUCACAAUUUGAUUAACUGUCAAUUAAACUCAGUAAUAUGGAUUUGGAAGAGAUGCUUCUUUAAUCGAUAAUGGGAAAAAUUAUUUACGUAGUAAUAUAAUUUAUUAAUGUAAUAAUAAAUUAUAAAUGUAAUAAUAAAUUACUUAACAUAUUUCGUCAUAAAUAUAGAAUGAUAUUCCCAUUGUUGAUAAAUACAUUGCGCUUCUUUUUCAGCUCAGAACGUACGCAAUUGUUUAUAUCAUUCCAUCGCUUUCAUCUCCUCGCAUCUGUCCUGCCACUCUGCACAGAAUAAUUUAGCCAUGGAUUUGCGAGGGGGAUGUUCUUCAUAUAAAUUCUUUUCUCUUCCAUUUCC